UUUGGCUCUGUUUCCUCUAUUGAACAGACUAGCUGACAAAAUGAAGAAUCAUCCUGUUUUUCUAGGUCUAAGACUGUGCACUUGCGUAAGUGAGAAAUGGUGCAACAUCUGCAGCUGACUUUGGGUCUGUCUGUCUGUCACCGCAUGUUCUC